CUUCACCGGUUGGAUUUCUACCUGUCUUCCCCCCGUCAAGCUGCACCAGUGGGAUUCCUGCCUGCUUCCUCCUGGAAGGCAAGGAUGGCAGGCAGGAGUCCACCAGGUAGAGCGCGAGGCUUUAGGGAGAAAUCCGCCCCGAGAGCUUCACCAGUUGAAUUCCUGCCCGCCGGCAGGCCGGUAUCACACAGGUCAAGCUUCCCUAUGGGAUUCUAGGGGAGGAAUUGCAUUGAGAGGGGAAUCCAGAUCAGGCAGGAAUUCAACAGGUAGAGCAGAUUCAUCAAUAGAUCAGGCAGGAAUUCAACAGGUUGAUCAGGCAGGAAUUCAUCAAUAGAUCAGGCAGAAAUUCAACAGGUAGAUCAGGCAGGUAGAUCAGGCAGCGAUUCAUCAGGUAGAGCAGAUUCAUCAAUAGAUGAGGCAGCGAUUCAACAGGUAGAUCAGGCAGCCAUUCACCAGGUAGAUCAGGCAGGAAUUCACCAGGUUAAUCAGGCAGGAAUUCAUCAAUAGAUCAGGCAGAAAUUCAACAGGUAGAUCAGGCAGUUAGAUCAGGCAGCGAUUCACCAGGUAGAUAUUGAAUAGAUCAGGCAGCAAUUCACGAGGUAGAUAGUGAAUAGAUCAGGCAGCAAUUCACCAGGUAGAGCAUGCAGGUAGAUCAGGCAGCAAUUCAUCAGGUAGAUCAGGCAGGAAUUCAUCAGGCAAAUAUCAAUAAAUCAGGCAGAAAUUCACCAGGUAGAUCAGGCAGGUAGAUCAGGCAAAAAUUCACCAGGUAGAUAUUGAAUAGAUCAGGCAGCAAUUCCCCAGGUAGAUCAGGCAGCAAUUCCCCAGGUUGAAAUUGAAUAGAUCAGGCAGCAAUUCACCAGGUUAAUCAGGCAAGAAUUCAUCAGGCAGAUAUCAAUAAAUCAGGCAGAAAUUCACCAGGUAGAGCAGAUUCAUCAACAGAUCAGGCAGCAAUUCAUCAGGUAGAUCAGGCAGGAAUUCAUCAGGCAGAUAUCAAUAAAUCAGGCAGAAAUUCACCAGGUAGAUCAGGCAGGAAUUCAUCAAUAGGUCAGGCAGCGAUUCAACAGGUAGAUCAGGCAGAAAUUCACCAGGUAGACCAGGCAGCGAUUCAACAGGUAGAUCAGGCAGGAAUUCACCAGGCAGAUCAGGCAGGAAUUCAUCAAUAGAUCAGGCAGAAAUUCACUAGGUAGAUCAGGCAGGAAUUCAUCAGGUAGAUCAGGCAGCAAUUCACCAGGUAGAUCAGGCAGCGAUUCACCAGGUAGAUCAGGCAGCAAUUCAUCAGGUAGAUCAGGCAGCAAUUCACCAGGUAGAUAUCAAUAGAUCAGGCAGCAAUUCACCAGGCAGAUCAGGAAGAAAUUCACCAGGUAGAUAUUGAAUAGAUCAGGCAGAAAUUCACCAGGUAGAUCAGGCAGGUAGAUCAGGCAGCAAUACACCAGGUAGAUCAGGCAAGAUAGCAAUAAAUCAGGCAGAAAUUCAACAGGUAGAUCAGGCAGCGAUUCAGCAGGUAGAUCAGGCAGCAAUUCAUCAGGUAGAUCAGGCAGGAAUUCACCAGGUUAAUCAGGCAAGAAUUCAUCAGGCAGAUAUCAAUAAAUCAGGCAGAAAUUCACCAGGUAGAUCAGGCAGGUAGAUCAGGCAGCGAUUCAUGAGGUAGAUCAGGCAGAAAUUCACCAGGUAGAUAUUGAAUAGAUCAGGCAGCAAUUCCCCAGGUAGAUAUUGAAUAGAUCAGGCAGAAAUUCACCAGGAAGAUCAGGCAGGAAUUGAACAGGUAGAUCAGGCAGAAAUUCACCAGGUAGAUCAGGCAGGAAUUCACCAGGUAGAUCAGGCAGGAAUUCAUCAAUAGAUCAGGCAGAAAUUCAACAGGUAGAUCAGGCAGGUAGAUCAGGCAGCAAUUCACCAGGUAGAUCAGGCAGAAAUUCACCAGGUAGAUCAGGCAGCAAUUCACCAGGUUGAUAUUGAAUAGAUCAGGCAGCAAUUCCCCAGGUAGAUCAUGCAGGUAGAUCAGGCCGCAAUCCACCAGGUAGAGCGCAAAGAUCAGGCCGCCGUUCCCCAACAGAUCAGGCCGCAAUCCACCAGGUAGAGCGCGAAAAUUUCCCUCCCCUUCGUACCUAAAUCCCCAUUAAUUCAGGCAGAAAUCCCACCGGAAAAGCCCGUUUUUCAGACCAGCUUCACCUGUUGAACUCCUGCCUGCCGACAGCAAUUCCCCAACAGAUCAGGCCGCAAUCCACCAGGUAGAGCGCGAAGCUUUUCCUCCCUUGAAUACCCAAAUCCCCAUUAAUUCAGGCAGAAAUCUCACAGGUAAAGCCAAUUUUCAGACAGAAAUCUCACUGGUAAAGCCAAUUUUCAGGCAGAUAUCCCACCGGAAAAGCCAAUUUUUCAGACUCCCCUUUAAUACCUAAAUUCCCAUUAAUUCAGGCAGAAAUCUCACUGGCAAAGCCAAUUUUCAGGCAGAAAUCUCACAGGUAAAGCCAAUUUUUCGGACUCCCCUGAAUCCCUAAAUCCCCAUUAAUUCAGGCAGAAAUCCCACCGGAAAAGCCAAUUUUUCAGACUCCCUUUAAUAUCUAAAUUCCAAUUAAUUCAGGCAGAAAUCCCACCGGAAAAGCCAAUUUUUCAGGCCAGUUUCAGGCCGCAAUCCACCAGGUUGAGCGCGAUUAUUUCCCUCCAUUUAAUACCUAAAUUCCCAUUGAUUCAGGCAGAAAUCACACCGGUAAAGCCAAUUUUCAGGCAGAAAUCCCACCGGAAAAGCCAAUUUUCAGGCAGAAAUCUCACAGGUAAAGCCAAUUUUCAGGCAGAAAUCUCACCAGAAAAGCCAAUUUUCAGACCCCCUUUAAUCUCUAAAUUCCCAUAAAUUCAGGCAGAAAUCUCACAGGUAAAGCCAAUUGUUCUGACUGCUCUUCAUAGCUAAAUCCCCAUUAAUUCAGGCAGAAAUCUCACAGGUAAAGCCAAUUUUCAGGCUAGUUUGACCGGUUGAAUCGCAGGCCGAAGUCACACAGGUCAAGCUCUAAAUCCCCAUGAAUUCAGGCGGAAAUCUCACAGGUAAAGCCAAUUUUUCAGACUCCCCUGAAUCCCUAAAUCCCCAUGAAUUCAGGCAGAAAUCUCACCGGUAAAGCCAAUUUUCAGGCAGAAAUCUCACUGGUAAAGCCAAUUUUUCAGACUCCCUUUAAUAUCUAAAUUUCCCAUUAAUUCAGGCAGAAAUCUCACUGGUAAAGCCAAUUUUUCAGACUCCCUUUAAUAUCUAAAUUCCCAUUAAUUCAGGCAGAAAUCCCACCGGAAAAGCCAAUUUUUCAGGCCAGUUUCAGGCCGCAAUCCAACAGGUUGAGCGUGAUAAUUGUCCUCCAUUUAAUACCUAAAUUCCCAUUGAUUCAGGCAGAAAUCUCACCGGUAAAGCCAAUUUUCAGGCAGAAAUCCCACCGGAAAAGCCAAUUUUCAGGCAGAAAUCUCACAGGUAAAGCCAAUUUUCAGGCAGAAAUCUCACCAGAAAAGCCAAUUUUUCAGACCCCCCUUUAAUCUCUAAAUUCCCAUAAAUUCAGGCAGAAAUCUCACAGGUAAAGCCAAUUGUUCUGACUGCUCUUCAUAGCUAAAUCCCCAUUAAUUCAGGCAGAAAUCUCACAGGUAAAGCCAAUUUUCAGGCUAGUUUGACCGGUUGAAUCGCAGGCCGAAGUCACACAGGUCAAACUCUAAAUCCCCAUGAAUUCAGGCGGAAAUCUCACAGGUAAAGCCAAUUUUUCGGACUCCCCUGAAUCCCUAAAUCCCCAUGAAUUCAGGCAGAAAUCCCACCGGUAAAGCCAAUUUUCAGGCAGAAAUCUCACAGGUGAAGCCAAUUGUUCAGACUGCUCUUCAUAGCUAAAUCCCCAUUAAUUCAGGCAGAAAUCUCACAGGUAAAGCCAAUUUUCAGGCUAGUUUGACCGGUUGAAUCGCAGGCCGAAGUCACACAGGUCAAGCUCUAAAUCCCCAUGAAUUCAGGCGGAAAUCUCACAGGUAAAGCCAAUUUUUCAGACUCCCCUGAAUCCCUAAAUCCCCAUGAAUUCAGGCAGAAAUCUCACCGGUAAAGCCAAUUUUCAGGCAGAAAUCUCACUGGUAAAGCCAAUUUUCAGGCAGAAAUCCCACCGGAAAAGCCAAUUUUUCAGAUUCCCCUGAAUAACAAUAAAUUCCCAUUAAUUCAGGCAGAAAUCUCACUGGUAAAGCCAAUUUUUCAGACUGCCCUUCAUGUCUAAAUCCCCAUUAAUUCAGGCAGAAAUCUCACAGGUAAAGCCAAUUUUUCAGACUCCCCUGAAUCCCUAAAUCCCCAUUAAUUCAGGCAGAAAUCCCACCGGAAAAGCCAAUUUUUCAGACUCCCCUGAAUCCCUAAAUCCCCAUGAAUUCAGG